rnacentral:tRNA from 1 species
GCUCCUUUGCUCAGUUGGUAGAGCGUCAGUCUCAUAAUCUGAAGGUCGCCAGUUCGAGCCUGUCAGGGAAUC